AAGAUUCUAGUAAAAUAUAUUACAUUACCUUGUCAGGGCAAAAUUGUGAGUUUAAACCUCGCGUAUCUUA
rnacentral:tRNA from 1 species